GUCUAUGGCCAUAUCACCCUGAACAUGUCUGAUCUCAUCUAUCUCAAACCUAAGUAGAGUCAGGCCUAGUUAGUACUUGGAUAAGAGACUGUCUGGGAAUACUAAGUGCUGUAGGCU
ensembl:rRNA 5S_rRNA 5S ribosomal RNA